rnacentral:rRNA from 1 species
GAGUUUGAUUCUGGCUCACAUUGAACGCUGGCGGCAUGCCUAACACAUGCAAGUCGAACGCGAAAGCCCUUCGGGGUGAGUAGAGUGGCGGACGGGUGAGUAACGCGUAGGAAUCUACCUAGUAGUGGGGGACAACUCGGGGAAACUCGAGCUAAUACCGCAUACGCCCUACGGGGGAAAGGGGGCUUCGGCUCUCGCUAUUGGAUGAGCCUGCGUCGGAUUAGCUUGUUGGUGGGGUAACGGCCUACCAAGGCGACGAUCCGUAGCUGGUCUGAGAGGACGAUCAGCCACACUGGGACUGAGACACGGCCCAGACUCCUACGGGAGGCAGCAGUGGGGAAUAUUGGACAAUGGGCGAAAGCCUGAUCCAGCAAUGCCGCGUGUGUGAAGAAGGCCUGCGGGUUGUAAAGCACUUUCAGUAGGGAAGAAAAGCCUGAUGCUAAUACCAUCGGGUCUUGACAUUACCUACAGAAGAAGCACCGGCUAAUUCCGUGCCAGCAGCCGCGGUAAUACGGAAGGUGCAAGCGUUAAUCGGAAUUACUGGGCGUAAAGCGCGCGUAGGCGGCUUGUUAAGUCAGAUGUGAAAGCCCCGGGCUCAACCUGGGAACUGCAUUUGAUACUGGCAGACUCG